rnacentral:lncRNA from 1 species
UAAAUUUGCCCGGCCCAAAUGAUAAACACAAAUUAAAAAAAAACCAAAUAAAAAUUAAAAGUCCAUUUUAAGGUCCAUUUACAUCCAGCCCAAUAACAACUACCCCUUUAGCCCAAAACCCACCAGCCUAAAUCGCAUUACCCAAACACUAGCCUAGCCCAAUGCCUAUCAGCCAACCCCAGCCCGAUGGCCCAAAUCCAC